rnacentral:rRNA from 1 species
GAGUUUGAUCCUGGCUCAGGAUGAACGCUAGCGACAGGCUUAACACAUGCAAGUCGAGGGGCAGCGGGGAGCAAGCUUGCUUGCUCUGCCGGCGACCGGCGCACGGGUGAGUAACACGUAUGCAACCUGCCCUCCGCAGGGGGAUAACCCGGAGAAAUCCGGACUAAUACCGCGUGGUACAUCUGUGGGGCAUCCCACGGGUGUUAAAAGGAAGCGAUUCCGGCGGAGGAUGGGCAUGCGGCGCAUUAGCUUGUUGGCGGGGUAACGGCCCACCAAGGCGACGAUGCGUAGGGGUUCUGAGAGGAAGGUCCCCCACACUGGUACUGAGACACGGACCAGACUCCUACGGGAGGCAGCAGUGAGGAGUAUUGGUCAAUGGGCGGGAGCCUGAACCAGCCAAGUCGCGUGAGGGAAGACGGUCCUAUGGAUUGUAAACCUCUUUAGGCGGGGAGCAAUGCCGGGCACGCGUGCCCGGAGGGAGAGUACCCGCAGAAUAAGCAUCGGCUAACUCCGUGCCAGCAGCCGCGGUAAUACGGAGGAUGCGAGCGUUAUCCGGAUUUAUUGGGUUUAAAGGGUGCGUAGGCGGAUUUUUAAGUCAGCGGUAAAAUGUCCGGGCUCAACCCGGGCCGGCCGUUGAAACUGGGGAUCUUGAGUGGGC